CAACCAUUCAUUCAUUCAUCUUGAUUUAUAUGAUUUUUGUCGAGCCUUCGACUUUAGUCGAAAAAGCGAGACACAGCGAUCCUACAUUCCGUCGGCGUCGUCGUCGUCGGCGGCGUCCACAAAUAUUCACUCUGUGGUUAAAGUUUUUGAAAUUUUAAUAACUUUCUUAAACUAUCCUGGAUUUCUACCAAACUUGGACAGAAGCUUGUUUAUGAUCAUAAGAUAGUAUCCAGAAGUAAAUUUUGUAAAAAUAAAAUUCCAUUUUUUCCUUAUUUUACUUUUAAAUGGACUUAGAUUUUCUGCCAGGAAACAACACAUUCACUCUGUGGAUAAAGUUUUUAAAAUUUUAAUAACUUUCUUAUACUAUUUUGGAUUUGUACCAAAUUUGGACAGAAGCUUGUUUAUGAUCAAAAGCUAGUAUCUAGAAGGAAAUUUUGUAAAAAAAUAAAUCCAUUUUUUCCGUAUUUUACUUUUAAAUAGACUUAGAUUUUCUGCCAGGAAACAACACAUUCACUCUGUGGUUAAAGUUUUUAAAAUUUUAAUAACUUCCUUAUACUAUUUUGGAUUUGUACCAAAAUUGGACAGGAGCUUGUUUAUGAUCAAAUGCUAGUAUCUAGAAGGAAAUUUUGUUUUCUUCCAGUUAACCAAACUUGGACAGAACCUUCUUACAAUCAAAAGAUAGUAUCAAGAGGAAUAUUUUUAUUGAUUUACUUCCUCAUUUUUGUUGAGCCUGCGAUUAACAGAAAAAGUAGGCGAGACACUGGGUUCCGCGGAACCCUUACGAAUUUUUAACAAUUUCAAUACAAAAUCCUUUGAAGAUUUAGAAAGAAGUAUACCAAUAUUUGAAUAUAGCACAACAACAAAUAUUGCAACUUAAAGAUAAACUGCUAUGCAAAUUCAGUGACCUACUGACAUUGUAACACAUUAGCUCAUUUUAGCUACUGACAAAAAAUGCUUAUCUUUCUAUAGAACUUCAACAAUGCAAAAUGCUAAAGUGCUAGUUCAAUGGGUUUUUGUCCACCAACAUACCUCAAUGGAAGAUUAAAAUAUUAUUGAAAUUAUACUCACAACUCUGGCAAUCUUUCCACCAGUGAUUUCAUUCUCUUUGAUAUUUUGUGUUGUUGAUUUGUUGUCUCAUUGACUUUUUACUGCAAGGGUAAAGAUACAAUUAACUGGUUAAAGCUUUUACUUAAUUAAGUGUAUUGUUAAAUUAUGUGUUCACCUGCUAGAAUUUAACUUGUAAUUAGCAGGCUGCUUUUUAUGGUAAUAUCAUUAAUAAAGCUAAUAAGUAAAGGAA